rnacentral:rRNA from 1 species
GGUUAAGCGACUAAGCGUACACGGUGGAUGCCCUGGCAGUCAGAGGCGAUGAAGGACGUGCUAAUCUGCGAUAAGCGUCGGUGAGGUGAUAUGAACCGUUAUAACCGGCGAUUUCCGAAUGGGGAAACCCAGUGUGUUUCGACACACUAUCAUUAACUGAAUCCAUAGGUUAAUGAGGCGAACCGGGGGAACUGAAACAUCUAAGUACCCCGAGGAAAAGAAAUCAACCGAGAUUCCCCCAGUAGCGGCGAGCGAACGGGGAGGAGCCCAGAGCCUGAAUCAGUGUGUGUGUUAGUGGAAGCGUCUGGAAAGGCGCGCGAUACAGGGUGACAGCCCCGUACACAAAAAUGCACAUAUUGUGAGCUCGAUGAGUAGGGCGGGACACGUGGUAUCCUGUCUGAAUAUGGGGGGACCAUCCUCCAAGGCUAAAUACUCCUGACUGACCGAUAGUGAACCAGUACCGUGAGGGAAAGGCGAAAAGAACCCCGGCGAGGGGAGUGAAAAAGAACCUGAAACCGUGUACGUACAAGCAGUGGGAGCCUCUUAAUGGGGUGACUGCGUACCUUUUGUAUAAUGGGUCAGCGACUUAUAUUCUGUAGCAAGGUUAACCGAAUAGGGGAGCCGAAGGGAAACCGAGUCUUAACUGGGCGUUAAGUUGCAGGGUAUAGACCCGAAACCCGGUGAUCUAGCCAUGGGCAGGUUGAAGGUUGGGUAACACUAACUGGAGGACCGAACCGACUAAUGUUGAAAAAUUAGCGGAUGACUUGUGGCUGGGGGUGAAAGGCCAAUCAAACCGGGAGAUAGCUGGUUCUCCCCGAAAGCUAUUUAGGUAGCGCCUCGUGAAUUCAUCUCCGGGGGUAGAGCACUGUUUCGGCAAGGGGGUCAUCCCGACUUACCAACCCGAUGCAAACUGCGAAUACCGGAGAAUGUUAUCACGGGAGACACACGGCGGGUGCUAACGUCCGUCGUGAAGAGGGAAACAACCCAGACCGCCAGCUAAGGUCCCAAAGUCAUGGUUAAGUGGGAAACGAUGUGGGAAGGCCCAGACAGCCAGGAUGUUGGCUUAGAAGCAGCCAUCAUUUAAAGAAAGCGUAAUAGCUCACUGGUCGAGUCGGCCUGCGCGGAAGAUGUAACGGGGCUAAACCAUGCACCGAAGCUGCGGCAGCGACGCUUAUGCGUUGUUGGGUAGGGGAGCGUUCUGUAAGCCUGUGAAGGUGGCCUGUGAGGGUUGCUGGAGGUAUCAGAAGUGCGAAUGCUGACAUAAGUAACGAUAAAGCGGGUGAAAAGCCCGCUCGCCGGAAGACCAAGGGUUCCUGUCCAACGUUAAUCGGGGCAGGGUGAGUCGACCCCUAAGGCGAGGCCGAAAGGCGUAGUCGAUGGGAAACAGGUUAAUAUUCCUGUACUUGGUGUUACUGCGAAGGGGGGACGGAGAAGGCUAUGUUGGCCGGGCGACGGUUGUCCCGGUUUAAGCGUGUAGGCUGGUUUUCCAGGCAAAUCCGGAAAAUCAAGGCUGAGGCGUGAUGACGAGGCACUACGGUGCUGAAGCGACAAAUGCCCUGCUUCCAGGAAAAGCCUCUAAGCAUCAGGUAACAUCAAAUCGUACCCCAAACCGACACAGGUGGUCAGGUAGAGAAUACCAAGGCGCUUGAGAGAACUCGGGUGAAGGAACUAGGCAAAAUGGUGCCGUAACUUCGGGAGAAGGCACGCUGAUAUGUAGGUGAAGCGACUUGCUCGUGGAGCUGAAAUCAGUCGAAGAUACCAGCUGGCUGCAACUGUUUAUUAAAAACACAGCACUGUGCAAACACGAAAGUGGACGUAUACGGUGUGACGCCUGCCCGGUGCCGGAAGGUUAAUUGAUGGGGUUAGCGGUAACGCGAAGCUCUUGAUCGAAGCCCCGGUAAACGGCGGCCGUAACUAUAACGGUCCUAAGGUAGCGAAAUUCCUUGUCGGGUAAGUUCCGACCUGCACGAAUGGCGUAAUGAUGGCCAGGCUGUCUCCACCCGAGACUCAGUGAAAUUGAACUCGCUGUGAAGAUGCAGUGUACCCGCGGCAAGACGGAAAGACCCCGUGAACCUUUACUAUAGCUUGACACUGAACAUUGAGCCUUGAUGUGUAGGAUAGGUGGGAGGCUUUGAAGUGUGGACGCCAGUCUGCAUGGAGCCGACCUUGAAAUACCACCCUUUAAUGUUUGAUGUUCUAACGUGGGCCCCUUACCGGGGUUGCGGACAGUGUCUGGUGGGUAGUUUGACUGGGGCGGUCUCCUCCUAAAGAGUAACGGAGGAGCACGAAGGUUGGCUAAUCCUGGUCGGACAUCAGGAGGUUAGUGCAAUGGCAUAAGCCAGCUUGACUGCGAGCGUGACGGCGCGAGCAGGUGCGAAAGCAGGUCAUAGUGAUCCGGUGGUUCUGAAUGGAAGGGCCAUCGCUCAACGGAUAAAAGGUACUCCGGGGAUAACAGGCUGAUACCGCCCAAGAGUUCAUAUCGACGGCGGUGUUUGGCACCUCGAUGUCGGCUCAUCACAUCCUGGGGCUGAAGUAGGUCCCAAGGGUAUGGCUGUUCGCCAUUUAAAGUGGUACGCGAGCUGGGUUUAGAACGUCGUGAGACAGUUCGGUCCCUAUCUGCCGUGGGCGCUGGAGAACUGAGGGGGGCUGCUCCUAGUACGAGAGGACCGGAGUGGACGCAUCACUGGUGUUCGGGUUGUCAUGCCAAUGGCACUGCCCGGUAGCUAAAUGCGGAAGAGAUAAGUGCUGAAAGCAUCUAAGCACGAAACUUGCCCCGAGAUGAGUUCUCCCUGAGACUUAGAGUCUCCUGAAGGAACGUUGAAGACGACGACGUUGAUAGGCCGGGUGUGUAAGCGCAGCGAUGCGUUGAGCUAACCGGUACUAAUGAACCGUGAGGCUUAACCUU